rnacentral:sRNA from 2 species
GGUUUAGAGCGCACGCCUGAUAAGCGUGAGGUCGAUGGUUCAAGUCCAUUUAGGCCCAUAUAUGGGGAAUUAGCUCAGCUGGGAGAGCACCUGCUUUGCAAGCAGGAGGUCAUCGGUUCGAUUCCGUUAUUCUCCAUUGCUAACCGCGAGGUUAGCGAGCUUGCACUUUGAAAACUAAAUAAUAUCAAUUUUCUUUAUUAAUUAACAAAACAAACCGAGAACACCGCGUUAUUUUGAGUUUUUUAGAAAUAAUCGCUAACUCAAUUAAUCGGAUAAUCACGAAGUGAUUAUCAAGGUUAAGUUAUGAAGGGCGCAUGGUGAAUGCCUUGGUACUAGGAGCCGAUGAAGGACGGGACUAACACCGAUAUGCUUCGGGGAGCGGUAAGUACGCUUUGAUCCGGAGAUUUCCGAAUGGGGAAACCCAACCAACUUAGUCGUUGGUUGCUUGACUAGUGAAUCUAUAGCUAGCAAGCGGUAGACGCAGUGAACUGAAACAUCUCAGUAGCUGCAGGAAGAGAAAGAAAAAUCGAUUCCCUCAGUAGCGGCGAGCGAACGGGGAAGAGCCCAAACCAACGAGCUUGCUCGUUGGGGUUGUAGGACUGAACAUUUGAGUUACCAAAGAGCGACGUAGUCGAAACAGUUGGGAAGCUGUGCCAGAGAUGGUGAAAGCCCAGUAGACGAAACGGCACUCUCUCAGUUCAGGAUCCUGAGUACGGCGGGACACGUGAAACCCCGUCGGAAGCAGCGAGGACCAUCUCGCAAGGCUAAAUACUCCCUAGUGACCGAUAGUGAACCA